rnacentral:rRNA from 1 species
CCCUUAGAUGUUCUGGGCCGCACGCGCGCUACACUGACGAAUGCAACGAGCUUAUAACCUUGGCCGAAAGGUCUGGGUAAUCUCCAAAUUUCGUCGUGAUGGGGAUAGAUUAUUGCAAUUAUUAAUCUUCAACGAGGAAUGCCUAGUAAGCGCAAGUCAUCAGCUUGCGUUGAUUACGUCCCUGCCCUUUGUACACACCGCCCGUCGCUCCUACCGAUUGAAUGGUCCGGUGAAGCGUUCGGACCGUGGCCUUUGGCCGGUUCGCCGUCUGUUGGCUGCGGGAAGUUCGUUAAACCUUAUCAUUUAGAGGAAGGAGAAGUCGUAACA